UGCCUCAUUAUCUGGUACUGUUUUAAGUAAAUUAAAUGAUCCCUUCUACUGACUUCACCUGGAAGUCCCUGUGGCAGGCUUUGUUCUUUCCGGUGAGCCAAGCUCUGAGCUGUGGGAGGCAUUAGCAGAUGCAGGUGGCAGAGUAAUUGCAGUCCCCUUGCACAACUCUGUGAUGAUACCAGCUCAGCAUUGCCUUUAGAGCGAGUAACACAGAAUGGAGAAUGACAUUUUCCCCAGCCCAGCCUUCUCACAGCAGGCAACAGAGAGAAGAAAAAGUUCUAAAAUCCCACCUCUUAUGAGAAAUAUGUGUUAGUGCAAGCCAUAUGGAAAGGUGCCAUGAGACACCCAUUCGGUGAAGACAUUUGAAGCUGGGCAAAGAAUGUGUACAGUGUAUCCUGGAGACAAGGUAUGCCAGAGGCAGGACCAAUUCAAACAACGCUGCAGAACUCCAGGGCUGACUUGAGGCCUAUAAGGCAAUGUAAGGAUACAGCACGCUUCCAUUUAGGAGAGAGACAAGACAGUUAAAGCAUGCUGGCUAUGCAAAAUACACACAAAACUUUUCCAAGGAAGCACACUGGUGAUAGAACUAAGGGAGAAAAAAUGCUUGACUUGAAGAACUAUUGAUGGCUUUUCACCUAAGAGAUUUGGAUCAGAUAAUCAAAAUAUAUUACAUGGAAAUGAUCACAGAAGCCAACAGCAGAGAGAGGCCGAUUUCACGUAUAGACAGUACAUACGCGAAGCAUCGCCCUAAAGUUCACAAAAGAGGAGUGAGUUACUUUGCAAACAUGAAAAUCGUAUACAAAUGA
rnacentral:lncRNA from 1 species